GGUUGCCUGUGAGACGAAUUUAAGUUCCACCUUAAUUUUACUCCAAAAGACCAAACCUACUUAUCCGUAGCAAAUUAAGAGCAAUUUAAAGGAGGUACAGCUCCUUUUAAAAAGAACACAAUCUCACCCAGAGGAUAAGCACUCUCUUCAUACACCUGUAGGCUUUAAAGCAGCCAUCAAUAAAGAGUGCGUCAAAGCUCCGACCCCAUAAAAAUACAGAAAUAAAUGCGACUCCCUCACCCACAACAGGCUAACCUAUCUUAAAUAGGAGCAUCAAUGCUAGAAUAAGUAACCGAGGAACCUCCUUCUGAAGCACAAACUUACAUCCCUCUAUCCAAAAUUAUUAACAGGCUCACCAAUACUACAACCAUUACAAGAACCAAGUAUUUAAUAUAUCCCCUGUUAAACCAACUCAGGAGUGCCCAAUUAGAAAGAUUCAAACCUGCAAAAGGAACUAGGCAAACCCAAGGCCCGACUGUUUACCAAAAACAUAGCCUUCAGCUCAACAAGUAUUGAAGGUGACGCCUGCCCAGUGACAUAAAGUUUAACGGCCGCGGUAUCCUAACCGUGCAAAGGUAGCGCAAUCAAUUGUCCCAUAAAUCGAGACUUGUAUGAAUGGCCAAACGAGGUCUUAACUGUCUCUUGCAAGUAAUCAGUGAAAUUGAUCUCCCCGUGCAAAAGCGGGGAUAAAUUCAUAAGACGAGAAGACCCUGUGGAACUUAAAAACCAGCAGCCACCCCAAACCACAUCUAAACCUACAAGGCUCACAACCAAAA
rnacentral:rRNA from 1 species